rnacentral:rRNA from 1 species
ANGGGCUUGAUUUGCAACUUUAUUUACGAGGAACCAAAUUGGAGGGGCAAGUCUUGGUGCCAGCAGCCGCGGGUAAAUUUCCCAAGCUCCCAAUAGUGGAUGAUUAAUAGUUUCCAUGCUACGUUGAUCGAUGCUUCGUAGUGAUUCUGGAGUCUGAGAUCGCAGGUGAGCAGCUAUCGCUGAACUCUUCCUUCAUCCACCUGUUAACGUUGUCCGGGAUUCGUUUCUCGGCUUCGGGCUCAGGCAUAUACUUUUACCCUUUUUCUAUAUUUAUUGUUUGAGUAAAUUAUAGUGUUUCAGGCAGGCGUGCGCCGGAAUACUUUAGCAUGGAAUAAUCGAAUUGGACCGUGUAUUCUUAUUGAAUUCUUCCUUAUUGUUGGUUCAAGGACACGGAAAUGGUUAAUAGGGAUAGUGUUUUAUAUCAGGGGAGGCAUUAGUAUUUAAUUUCCAGAGGUGAAAUUCUUUGAAAUAUUAAAGACUAACUUAUGCGAAAGCAUUUAUUAUUGCCAAUAAUGUUUUCAUUAAUCAUUGAACGAAAGUUAGGGGAUCAAAGACGAUCAGAUACCGUCCUAGUCUUAACCAUAAACGUUGCCGACUAGGGAUCGGAGGGCGUGCACAUUCCGCCUUCGGCACCUUACGAGAAAUCAAAGUCUUUUGGGUUCUGGGGGUAGUAUGGUCGCAAGGCUGAAACUUAAAGGAAUUGACGGAAGGGCACCACCAGGAGUGGAGCUUGCGGCUCAAUUUGACUCAACACGGGAAAUCUUACCAGGUCCAGACAUAGCGAGGAUUGACAGAUUGAUAGCUCUUUCUUGAUUCUAUGGGUAUUUUUUAUAUAUUKWYUGGUGGUGCAUGGCCGUUCUUAGUUGGUGGAGUGAUUUAGUCUGGUCGGUUCCGAUAACGAGCGAGAUUCCUGCCCGGUAGCAGCGCGCGUAUUUUUAUCAGCGUGCGCACUUUGUACGAUACGCUACGCGGGGAUAUGCGACGACGAGCUGGGGCCCGCGUGUCUGUCGACGCGCKGSCMCACRGCUCKUCKUCSSAUAUCCCUUCAGUCGUAUAUGCUCAACUCAAAGACUAAGCCAUGCAAGUGCAAGUUCGACGCUGCGACGGUCUCUCUCGGGGGAUCAAUAUAUUGCAGUCAAACCACGAACGGCUCAGUAAUACGGUCGCAAUCCACGACUCGCUUGUUCUCGCUACGCGGAUAACUGUGGCAACUCCAGAGCUAACACGUGCCUCGUAGWSYCUCGGUCUCUUCGGAUUCCUUGGGCGCAUUUGUCAGCGUCACGGCCUCGCGGCCGAUUGACGAACUCUGGACAACUAAGCCGACCGCGCUCCUUUUAUCAAGGCAGGCGACGCGAGUCACGAGCGA